UGGUUAAAACUACACUCAACGAUUUAAUUCGUUUCAUACGCAUGAAAUUAUAUCGUUAUUUUAUUUUAACCUAAAAAGAAAAUCGUGACCUUUCGUUGCUCUUCGGCUGAAACGUUUUUCCGUUGGUCAUCAUUUUCCUCCCUUUAGUUCUUAAUUUUUUAAGGCUAUUGUGGGGUAUUUGAUGGUCCGUCUGGAUCAGCGCGUAGGUGGAGAAACAACGGAGGGUUGUUUUGAUUUUCCCCUUCAUAUUCCCGGCAUUUUCAACGCCCCCUCGGGGCACCUUCUUGUUAAGUCAUGUUGAUUUUGCCGUAACAAAACGGAGGGGCACACAAAAGGAAAGGACGCCAUUAAAAGUGGAAAAGAAAAAUAAAGGGUAUGG
rnacentral:sRNA from 1 species